UGGGGUGUGGAUCAGAGACCCACUCGUCCGGCGGCUGCCUGAGAUCAAACCUGUCCCCCGCCAGCCUGGAGGAACAUCACUGUCUUCCGUCUCUCCCUGCCCUCCACCAACGGGGUUGGUAAUAGAUCACACCCAAGAAGCCUGCACCCUCGACCCUCAGGUCUGGCCAACAGAGGGGGAGCCCUAGAAAAAGGGGCAAGUGCCCCAUCAGGAAGAGCGUGGGCAGGGUCGUCUGAAUGACCUCGGAGGGCUUGCGGGCUCCUGGGAGGAACUGAGCCCGUGAGUGCAUUUCAGGGAGACGCAGGUGCUCCCGCCCUACAGGUGGGAGGUCCAGGGCACCUGCCUCUUGGGGCUUCCCCGCUGACCCUGGGGACCAGGAGAGAGGCUGGGCCCCGAAGAGGGCUCCCGACCCAGCCUGCCCCCGUGUCCUUCCCAGGUGCUUCCAUCCCCAGUCCUGCCCUGCCCCCUGCCCCGUGUCCUCACCCCGACCCCUCCCUCCUGCACCUCUGCUCUCCGCUGACUCCUCUGGCGGCCCGGGGAUCCCAGCGAGACUGUGCCCCAACCCCUCCCAUCUGGAGGUGCAGGCCGGCUCUGGCUGCCCAAGUGAGGGCAUCUGGCACCAUCAGAAAGUUCCACAGAGGGACAGCUGACCUGACCUUCUGGCCUUGACCUUGGCCUUGACCAUGACCUUGGUCCAAGUCCCAGUCCUGCUGCACUCACCCCAGAAUUGGGGGCUCCCCGGGGCCACCGACCACCUCUCCCCGGCCAGGAAGGGCAGUUCCCCCAACACCGCGGGCUCGGGGCCUGCGACGUCCUUACACAGGGCUCUGCGAGCCCUGCCCGCUACUGCGACCUACUUUCCUUCCCGGCCCCGUAAAAUCCAGCUAGGACGUUCCCCAGGCUCACGGCUGUGACAGACAGACCCUUGGACGGACAGGCGUGUGGCAGAGAACGAGGGUGGGGGCCCCCAGCGCCUGCCCUGGGCUGCGGGGACUCGAUCCACAGUGAUUUCCUGCCCAGACUCGGAGUCCAGACCCUGAGGCGACAAGCCUCCUCUCCCGACCCCGUUUCAAAACCCACAAAUGGCCAUCAGACAACUCAAUCGGAAAGAGAUCAGAAAAAUCAGCCCGGAAUCAUGCUCACCACAACGUUACCAGUGGUUGUUUCUGGGUAAUAAUAUUUUGGGCAAUCUUUUUUGAGUUUACUUAUUUUGAGAGACAGAGAGACGGGGUGAGGGGAAGAGGGGAGAAAGAGAGAG